CAGUAGCCGCGGGAAUACGUAGGGCGCGAGCGUUGUCCGGAAUUAUUGGGCGUAAAGAGCUCGUAGGCGGCUGGUCGCGUCUGUCGUGAAAUCCUCUGGCUUAACUGGGGGCGUGCGGUGGGUACGGGCCGGCUUGAGUGCGGUAGGGGAGGCUGGAAUUCCUGGUGUAGCGGUGGAAUGCGCAGAUAUCAGGAGGAACACCGGUGGCGAAGGCGGGUCUCUGGGCCGUGUACUGACGCUGAGGAGCGAAAGCGUGGGGAGCGAACAGGAUUAGAUACCCCCGUAGUCCCUGUCUCUUAUA
rnacentral:rRNA from 1 species